rnacentral:rRNA from 1 species
GACGAACGCUGGCGGCGUGCUUAACACAUGCAAGUCGAACGGAAAGGCCCUGCUUUUGUGGGGUGCUCGAGUGGCGAACGGGUGAGUAACACGUGAGUAACCUGCCCUUGACUUUGGGAUAACUUCAGGAAACUGGGGCUAAUACCGGAUAGGAGCUCCUGCUGCAUGGUGGGGGUUGGAAAGUUUCGGCGGUUGGGGAUGGACUCGCGGCUUAUCAGCUUGUUGGUGGGGUAGUGGCUUACCAAGGCUUUGACGGGUAGCCGGCCUGAGAGGGUGACCGGCCAACUUGGGACUGAGAUUCGGCCCCGGCUCCUACGGGAGGCAGGCGGGGGGAAUAUUGCCCCAUGGGCGGAAGCCUGAUGCAGCAACGCCGCGUGCGGGAUGACGGCCUUCGGGUUGUAAACCGCUUUCGCCUGUGACGAAGCGUGAGUGACGGUAAUGGGUAAAGAAGCACCGGCUAACUACGUG